rnacentral:misc_RNA from 1 species
GAAAAUACAGAAUUUUUCUAACUCAGUACACAACAUCACCUUUAAGUUACACUUACCGUCUUCUCUUUUGCGACUUUGGAGGUUUGAGAACACUCCAGUCAAGUCUCUGUGGCAUUUUGGAUCUCUGGCUACUACUAGGUGACGAGGCUGGAUCGUCCAGGACUCUCUUAUGUGAUUUGUUUGAAUACUGCCUCUCAGAGGAUGUAUUGUCUUGUUUCCAUUUGAUAUCUUCGUUAGGGUCGUCAUAAGUGUCGUCCACAUCAGAGUUCUCCAAUCCAUAUUGUGAUGUACCAUUUUCUCUUUUAGUAAUCCAUUCACUCGUCUCCGAAGAACAAGCAGGGGAAGCAGAACCUUCGGAGCGUGGUUUUGAAGCUUCUUCACUCAAUUUAUCAAUAGAAGGAUUAAAACCUUGAAAAGACAUCCGACCUUUUAU